GCGCCAUUAGCUCAGCUGGAUAGAGCACCGUCCUCCGACGGCGGGUGUCGCCGGUUCGAAUCCGGUGUGGCGCGCCA
rnacentral:tRNA from 1 species